AUGUGCGGUAUUGAAUUUAUGUCCCAAAACCAUUCACCUUUUCCUUUUGCUUCUUCGCCAAUAUGUGAGAGCGUUGUCACCUCUUCUUUGCAGUACACAAAAGCCGAUAAGAACAUUUGGCAUAGUAUCAAUGACGUAAUUGGUUUAUACAAUUCGUGUCUAUUGACACGAAAGCAAAUUUUUACAUUUCUGUCCUAAAAACAGUUGCAUCUCAGGCAGAGCGUGGGUCAUUUGGCUAGGCUUGCAAGAUGAUUUCAAUACUUUUCGGUUCAUGGCCGUCAUAAGAAACUUGGAAUUUUAGAUCAAUAUUGCUUGCAACAUGUGCUUGUUGCGAGGGGAAAUGUUUUAGAAAUGAAGAGUCACCUGCAAAUCAUUUGUUAACCUGUAGUAUUAAGUUUGUUGCUGAAUGCAGCAAGUUCUGCUGAUGAAACUGGCAAACUUGGUUUUGAAACCGGCCAAUGAUCUAAACCAUGGAAACAUCGUCAUACCACACGCUGAUUGUCCAUCAGUGCUCGAAUGUUUACACGUCAGUUGACAAUGGGCCACAAAGCAGUUCAUCAUUUAAAGCGGAGAGAGUUGAAAUCUCAAAUGUGUGUGGUGUUCAGCAGAUUACCCUCUUUCAACGAAAACUAUAUAUGGUGCAUUUCCAGGGUUAUCGGUGUGACCCAGGAACCGAGCCCUGCCACCGCCCCGGUGUAGAAAAUGUCUCUGUCAUCCCGUGAUUGGCCCAUUCCAGGCAUGGAGGAGGUGGUGAGCCCCGGAUCACAGCCAAUCAGGUGUUUAGACCCGACUACUGCUUUCGUUUCGCAUUACGGCUGAUUUGGAAAAGUAUGGCAACAAAGGGUGGAAUCUAUUGCUCCGAAAUCUUUCGGAACAAUAACGGCAUUUUCCCCUAUUGUUCCGAAAUGUUUCGGAGCAAUACGGGCUUUUUUCACUAUUGCACCGAAACAUGUCGUUGCAAUAAGUGGCUUUAUUCGCUAUUGCACCGAAAUGUUUCGGAGCAAUAAAAUCAUUUAAUGAAAUAGAUGGUGACAGGUGACUCGUCAUAUUUUAAGGACCAUUUCGAAUGUGUAAUUAUUCUGUUUCUAUCAUCUUUGCUGAUUCAUCAAAGUAGGGAGAUAAAUAAAGAUGAAUAUCCCCACCCAUAA